GAUGAAGAACGCAGCUAAAUGCGAUAAGUAAUGUGAAUUGCAGAAUUCAGUGAAUCAUCGAAUCUUUGAACGCACAUUGCGCCCCCUGGAAUUCCGGGGGGCAUGCCUGUUCGAGCGUCUCAGGGACGAACCCUCGCGCGGGUGUACGCGCGGUCGUGGCUGCGGUGGCGUGCCCGAGGCGGCGGCCACCGCGCUGGAAUCCAUGGGCGGACGCCUGCCGCGUGGCCGAGCGUGAUAUGACGCAUUGGCGCUCGCACGCGGCGAGGCUGCCAGCCCUGGCCCGUCUGUCGGGCGGGGGAGAGCAAGACACGUGAACUCCUCGAAUCAGGUAGGGAUACCCGCUGAACUUAAGCAUAUCAAUAAGCGGAGGA
rnacentral:misc_RNA from 1 species